rnacentral:rRNA from 1 species
CAGCCGCCGCGGUAAGACAGAGGAUGCAAGCGUUAUCCGGAAUGAUUGGGCGUAAAGCGUCUGUAGGUGGCUUUUCAAGUCCGCCGUCAAAUCCCAGGGCUCAACCCUGGACAGGCGGUGGAAACUACCAAGCUGGAAUACGGUAGGGGCAGAGGGAAUUUCCGGUGGAGCGGUGAAAUGCGUUGAGAUCGGAAAGAACACCAACGGCAAAAGCACUCUGCUGGGCCGACACUGACACUGAGAGACGAAAGCUAGGGGAGCAAAUGGGAUUAGAUACCCCAGUAGUCCCUGUCUCUUAUAC